AGCUAAGCAUGAUUCAUUUUCAAGCUUUAUAUAAUUGGGUGGUUCCCUCUUCACAUUAUGCUCACUGCUUUAUUCUGAUCAUAUCACCCACUGGUAGUAAAGAAAGACAAAGCCUUUUAUUUUGCACUGCACUGAACACAAGAAGUACUAUUAAACAGCAAAUUAUUGAUAAUCUUUGAUAAUAAAAGCAAUUAAUUUUUGUGUGAGUGCCAGCCUGUUAAUUGUUAGACGCAAAUAAACUAUUGUUGCUAGAAAUUGUUUAUUAGAAUAAAUAGGGAGAGCACAGCACACAAUUAACCUAUAAUGGGUUGUUUAGGCUCGCCCCUUUAAUGUUCUACAUUACUUCUAGUAAUUUAAAGCUUAGUACACGACAUGCAUUUACAUGUGAUUGUCAUACUGCCAAGAGUGAUAAUUAGCUAGGGAGAUCAAGUGUCUAAGUUUCUCAUAGUAGCUGAGAUCAUAAUAUCUAUGCUGAGAUGGGUGCAUGGCUAGACCCACCCUCUGCUAGCCACACAAGACUAUAAAUUAUAACAUGCAGACACGUAGAUAUAAAUAAUGUGACUGUUUAUAUCAGUUUAAUAAAGACAUAAUGUUGUUGACGACAAAGACAGACUAUUGUAUUAAUUAAAACUAUAGAAAAAUAUUAUCUUUGGUAGAUCAGUCUAAAAGUGUAUAAUGAUCAGACCAGGAAUCCACCCCUCUGGGAUCAGACUAGACCAGGAUCAGACCACCAGGCUGAUCAGCACCCCAUUCUACCAAUUAUUCCACCCCUCUGAGUAAUAAGAUAUUAUAAUGAUAUUCAGUGUUUUUUUUAGUAUCUUUCAGUAGCUAUACACUGAUACACCCAUCCUUUAUAGAGGUAUAGUUACAUUGUUCAUUUCAAUUUACAGUGGAAAAGACUUGUUGCUGUAUUUGAAAUUUGCAGGGCUAGAAGGCUCUUCUCUUUUAAAGUCCUGCUAUCUUUAUUGUGGUGCAUUACAUACAAGAUGGUUGAUGUCACUCAAUGGAGAGUGAGUAUUGGAUUAUGGAACUGCUGCCAAGCUGCCUCCAGUAGACCAGCUGAUGGCCACAACUUUCACUCAUUCAAAGAUGCUAUAAACAGCAAGUCAGGCCACAGUACUAUAUCAGGAGAGAAGACACCCAAACAGCUAGCAGCUCUAUCUUUUAUUGUUUCUCUUUUUUUAUUAUUAUUAAGUAUCAAGCUCAUUCUUUUUCCUCCAUCUGGUAAA